UUAUGAUACUUAUUCAGGAAAAAAUAUGAUGGAUAAUGAAAAUUGUUCUUUUCUCAAUUGAACUGAAUAUUCUCCGCAUAUUUAGAAGAACUCCAAAUAAUAAGAAUAUGCAUAUAGUAGAAGGUUAGGACCAUCUCUGUGAUUGAGGCGUCACAGAAAUUUGGUAGAACAUAGAAUACUAGGAAGGAGGAAAAUGUAGAAAUCUCUCAUUACAUUCACUUAGGAAUUUAUUUGCUGUCAAAGUUAACCAACGAAUCCCAUAGGCGUAUCAUAAGUUUCCAAAAGAUGAAAGGAGGAGAAUGGCAUGGAUUCAUUUUAUAUAUGAGCCUGAAAUUGUUCCUAAAACUCAAAGUUAUUUUUUCUCUCGUCAUUUCGCUGAUUGCUCCCAUUGUAGUAGAUCAUUUAAAAUAUUGAAAAAAUUAUAAUACAAAAGUGACCAGACCCUCGAAAUGUAUGAAAAGUACUCUAAUGGAUCAUGAUUAUGUAUAUUCGAAUCUCAGGUAUUGCUGGACCUCCAUUUACAUCCGAGCCUUUAUACAUGCCAAACUAUCAGUUAGAGAGCAAACCUCCACCCCGUGAAAGGGUAUUGAAACUGAGGAUUGAGAAACUAGAGCAAAGGGAAAUUUUGCAUCGCAGACAAUCAAACACCUGUGGAAGAUCAAUUUGUCAAUAAAAAAGAAAUUUGUCACGUACAAAACUUUUACCGCAGAAAAAAACUGCACGUCCAAGAAAAAUCUCAAAAUUACAUAAUAUUCGAUAGUUGGCUCCCCGAGUUACAGAAUUUACUCAUUAUAUCAUCCCAAUUUGUUCAUCAAUUCAUUACACCCAGUACAUACUUAAUGAAGAUGAUUGUAAUUGCUCAAAUUUUAAUUUGUCAAUAAAAAUUAUUUUUAUUAUUAUCAUUCAUCUAUCCCAUUCCUUUGAUUAUUUUACUUCAAUUCAAAGCUUUCCUUGACAAAACUAUAAACAAAAUAAAACUUCAAAAUGUACUAUAGAAUCGUAUAUGUGAAAUUUGAAUAAACCCAUGUCAAACAAAUUUAUCCAUUAUUCCAUUAUAGUUGAUAAUUGUUGAUAAUUUUUGUAAUUAUUCAAUUCGUUAAUGAAAGUUAUUAAUUCAUAUAACGUUCAAUGUACCCCUUUAUAUGAUA